ACGACGCUGGCGGCGCGCCUAACACAUGCAAGUCGAACGGAGAUCUAUUUGGUAGAAGUUUUCGGAUGGACACCGGGUGAUCUUAGUGGCGAACGGGUGAGUAACACGUAGGCAACCUGCCCAAAAGAGGGGGAUAACACUUGGAAACAGGUGCUAAUACCGCAUAACCAUGAACACCGCAUGAUGUUCAUGUAAAAGACGGCUUUCGCUGUCACUUUUGGAUGGGCCUGCGGCGUAUUAACUUGUUGGUGGGGUAACGGCCUACCAAGGUGAUGAUACGUAGCCGAACUGAGAGGUUGAUCGGCCACAUUGGGACUGAGACACGGCCCAAACUCCUACGGGAGGCAGCAGUAGGGAAUCUUCCACAAUGGACGAAAGUCUGAUGGAGCAACGCCGCGUGAAUGAAGAAGGCCUUCGGGUCGUAAAAUUCUGUUGUCAGAGAAGAACGUGCGUGAGAGUAACUGUUCACGUAUUGACGGUAUCUGACCAGAAAGCCACGGCUAACUACGUG
rnacentral:rRNA from 1 species